UCGAGCUCGUUCCUUGCCUUGCUCAUCACAACUCGUUCGGUCGCCCUUAUCACAGCUCGUUCAUUGACGGUGCUCAUCACAACUCAAACCUCCGUCAUGAAGUCUGAACGUGCAUGUAAACAAGUCAGUCAUAGGCCAUAGCCCUUAAAUUUGAUAGAAAAGAGAUCGAUUUGGAAAAUUGGGAAGAAAUUGAUUCAUAAAUUGCAAUCGAAGAACAAGUCAUCCAGCAUGAUGCCUUUGGCUGUUAGCUAUGUUUUUAGGUGUUUAUGAUCAACUCAUAUCUACUCACCCUAAUGACUUCUGUGGAUACUUAGCUAAGGUCAGUUAUACAGUUGUUAUUAGUUUUUGCUACUUAUUUGCCUUUAUUUUGGUUUAUUUCUAGUAGCAUUCGUAUCUUUGAUCUGUGUCUGCAAGGAAGGAGCAGGGUGCUUCGGUUCUAAAUUUUGGUACGGUUGCUAUGCUCAUUGGUCAUCGCAAAGCUUGUUUUGAGCUUCUGUUUGACAGAGUAGGUCCCUUGGAUUAUAUCUAGAGCAGUACAUGGCAACAUACAAAUUAAUCAAGCUGUUAAUAAAUACUUGUGUUUGCACAUAAAUAGAUAAUAAUGAGCCAAUGAUUUUUCUUCAAUUGUAACCCUUAGGGAGUCAAGAAUCAAAUUGCAGCCAGCAGGUUAAGAUGCUCUACACCUAGAGAGAAGAUUAAAUCAAAUAGUAGAUAAAGAUCUAAUGGGAGAGCGACUUAGUUAAAUGGGAAGAAAUGGUCCAAGUUGCACUCAUGUGUAGACAUUUUAGGGGACUUCAUUCAUUAUGUAGAAUUGCAUAUACUUGGUUAUA